GUAGUCAUAUGCUUGUCUCAAAGAUUAAGCCAUGCAUGUCGUCUCAGUAUAAGCAACUUGUAUGUGUGAAACUGCGAAUGGCUCAUUAAAUCAGUUAUAAUUUAUUUGAUAGUGAUUUACUACAUGGAUAGCCGUAGUAAUUCUAGAGCUAAUACAUGCAUAAGGACCCGACUCGUGAGGGAAGGGUUGUAUUUAUUAGAUCGAAAACCAACGCAGAGAGAAGGUCGGGAAACCGCUCUUCUCUUGAAUUUUUGGUGAGUCAUGAUAAAUGUCGAAUCGAAUUUUUAAUUCGAUGUGUCAUUCAAAUUUCUGCCCUAUCAACUUGUUGGUAGGAUAGGGGCCUACCAUGGUUGUGACGGGUAACGGAGGAUUAGGGUUCGAUUCCGGAGAGGGAGCCUGAGAAAUGGCUACUACUUCUAAGGAAGGCAGCAGGCGCGCAAAAUUACCCAAUCCCAAUCAUUUUGGGGAGGUAGUGACAAAAAAAUAUCAAUGCUUGAGAACCUUAUGGUCUCGGUAAUUGAAAUGGUUUGGAAGUAAAUUGUCCAUAGAGCAGCCAUUAGAGGGCAAGUCUGGUGCCAGCAGCCGCGGUAAUUCCAGCUCUAAUAGUGUAUACUAAAAUUGCUGCAGUUAAAAAGCUCGUAGUUGGAUUUUGGAUGGAACAGUAUACCUUUGUGUUGCUGUUUAUAUGGUUUCAUUCUUGUUUCUUAAAGGAAUGGGACCUAUUUAUGGUCACAGAGGUUGUUUCGUCCGGUAUUUUUCGAAAUUGCUUGGUCCCCUUCAUUGGGCGAUCAAGCAAGUUCGGAGGAUUUACUUUGAAGAAAUUGUAGUGUUUAAAGCAGGCGUUUCGCAGCUGAACACAUUAGCAUGGAAUAAUAAAAUAGGACAUCUGAGCAAGUUCCUACCCGGUUACCGCUUGUGAUCUUUCAUUUGGGGCACAGCUCCUUGGAGUUGUCUUGCUUCAUUUGGGGUCAUGGGUAUGGGGCCGGGGGAUUAUUGGGCUUUGCUAUCUAGUAUAUCUAUUUUGUUGGUUUUUGGAGAAGGUGUAAUGAUUAAUAGGGACAGUUGGGGGCAUCCGUAUUGCAUAGUCAGAGGUGAAAUUCUUGGAUUUAUGUAAGACGAACUAGUGCGAAAGCAUUUGCCAAGGAUGUUUUCAUUAAUCAAGAACGAAAGUUAGGGGAUCGAAGGCGAUCAGAAACCGCCGUAGUCUUAACUAUAAACUAUACCAACUAGGGAUUGGAGAGCGUCUUGUAUGGCCUCGUCAGCACCUUUAGAGAAAUCAAAGUCUCUGGGUUCUGGGGGGAGUAUGGUCGCAAGGCUGAAACUUAAAGAAAUUGACGGAAGGGCACCACCAGGUGUGGAGCCUGCGGCUUAAUUCGACUCAACACGGGGAAACUCACCAGGUCCAGACACGGGAAGGAUUGACAGAUUGAUAGCUCUUUCUGGAUUCUGUGGGUGGUGGUGCAUGGUCGUUCUUUAGUUGGUGGAGUGAUUUGUCUGGUUAAUUCCGAUAACGAACGAGACCUUAACCUGCUAAAUAGCUCAGUCUCAAAAGAAUAUUUUGAGAUUUUUUUUUAGAGCUUCUUAGAGGGACUACCAUGGUUGCACAUGGUGGAAGCUUGAGGCAAUAGCAGGUCUGUGAUGCCCUUAGAUGUCCUGGGCCGCACGCGCGCUACAAUGAUGCAUUCAACAAGUUUGUGCUUAUCCGAAAGGGUUGGCUAAUCUUUUAAAACUGCAUCGUGCCUGGGGAUUGAUCUUUGUAAUUUUGGAUCAUGAACUAGGAAUACCUAGUAAGUGCAACUCAUCAGGUUGCGCUGAUUACGUCCCUGCCCUUUGUACACACCGCCCGUCGCUCCUACCGAUUGAAUGAUCAGAUGAAAUGCUCGGAUUUGUGACAUCUGGCUCCUUCGGGGGUUGCUUGUUGUGAAGAAGAGUAGUAAAUCUUAUUAUUUAGAGGAAGGAGAAGUCGUAACAAG
rnacentral:rRNA from 1 species